rnacentral:misc_RNA from 1 species
GAUGAAGAACGCAGCGAAAUGCGAUAAGUAGUGUGAAUUGCAGAAUUCAGUGAAUCAUCGAAUCUUUGAACGCUCAUUGCGCCCCCUGGUAUUCCGGGGGGCAUGCCUGUCCGAGCGUCAUUGCUGCCCUCAAGCACGGCUUGUGUGUUGGGCCUCCGUCCUCCUCCCGGGGGACGGGCCCGAAAGGCAGCGGCGGCACCGCGUCCGGUCCUCGAGCGUAUGGGGCUUCGUCACCCGCUCUUGUAGGCCCGGCCGGCGCUUGCCGACACAUCAAUCUUUUUUCCAGGUUGACCUCGGAUCAGGUAGGGAUACCCGCUGAACUUAAGCAUAUCAAUAAGCGGAGGA